rnacentral:tRNA from 2 species
GGGUGAUUAGCUCAGCUGGUUAGAGCGCUACUCUUACAAAGUAGAGGCCGCAGGUUCGAGUCCUGCAUCGCCCACCA